UUCUCGAAUUUAGAAGAGCUAUUGAUUUUACUGUAAUAAUUAUUUAAAAUAAGAAAUGAAACGUUAAUAUAUCUAGUUUUUAAAGAAAAUUUAAUUUUGUUAUAUCUUAGGGGAUGAGCUCUAUAUAGGAUUAGAAGUUUUGUUAUAACUGAUUUAUUUAAAUAUAAUUUUUAAUUAAUUAAGUAAUAAUGAUAAAAUUAGUAUAAGAUAAGGUUAAGGAAUUCGGCAAAUAUUUUUCACCUGUUUAUUAAAAACAUGGCCUUUUGAUUUUUAUUUAAGGUCUGGCCUGCCCACUGAGGCCGCGGUAUUUUGACCGUGCAAAGGUAGCAUAAUCAUUAGUUUUUUAAUUGAAAGCUGGAAUGAAUGGUCGGAUGAGAAAAUGGCUGUCUCUAUCUUAUAGAAUUUAACUUUUAAGUAAAAAGGCUUAAAUGUUAUUAAAAGACGAGAAGACCCUAUAGAGUUUUAUUUUGGUUGGGGAGACUGAAAAAUUAAAUUAACUUUUGAUUGAAAGAUAAAAUUACCUUAGGGAUAACAGCGUAAUCCUUCCUAGAGUUCUAAUCGAAGGGAGGGUUUGCGACCUCGA
rnacentral:rRNA from 1 species